rnacentral:rRNA from 1 species
GACGAACGCUGGCGGCGUGCCUAACACAUGCAAGUCAAGGGAAAGUUUCGGGUAACUGAGACGGACACUGGCGCACGGGUGAGUAAUAUGUAAGUAAUCUGCCUUCUGCAUAGGAAUAACCUCGGGAAAUCGGGGCUAAUACCCAAUAACAUCAUUUAGUCAAAAGAUUAGAUGGUCAAAGCUGCAACUGCAGCGGCAGGAGAUGAGCUUGCAUCUGAUUAGCUAGUUGGCGGGGUAACGGCCCACCAAGGCAACGAUCAGUAGCUGGUCUGAGAGGAUGAUCAGCCACACUGGAACUGAGACACGGUCCAGACUCCUACGGGAGGCAGCAGUGAGGAAUAUUGGGCAAUGGGCGGAAGCCUGACCCAGCAACGCCGCGUGGAGGAAGAAUGCCGUAAGGUUGUAAACUCCUGUAGGGGGGGACGAAAGGCUCGGAGAGUGGAAAGCUCCGGGUUUGACUGUACCCCCAAAGUAAGCCCCGGCUAACUACGUGCC